CAAUAGCGUAUAUUUAAGUUGCUGCAGUUAAAAAGCUCGUAGUUGGAUUUCGGGUGGGAAUGGCCGGUCCGCCGUUUCGGUGUGCACUUGCUACGCCCACCUUGCUGCCGGGGACGUGCUCUUGAGUUCACGCUCGGGACACGGAGUCGGCGAGGUUACUUUGAGUAAAUUAGAGUGUUCAAAGCAGGCCUACGCUCUGAAUACAUUAGCAUGGAAUAACACGAUAGGACUCUGGCCUAUCUUGUUGGUCUGUAGGACCGGAGUAAUGAUUAAGAGGGACAGUCGGGGGCCUUCGUAUUUCAUUGUCAGAGGUGAAAUUCUUGGAUUUAUGAAAGACGAACUACUGCGAAAGCAUUUGCCAAGGAUGUUUUCAUUAA
rnacentral:rRNA from 1 species